rfam:Enterococcus dispar ATCC 51266 genomic scaffold acpMG-supercont1.1, whole genome shotgun sequence.
AGAGUGUUAUGAUGUUGGAAGUAAAUUCCGAGUCUAGCUCAGCGCCGCCCCUUAGUUUAUACUAAGGGGC